rnacentral:rRNA from 1 species
UACGGAGGAUGCGAGCGUUAUCCGGAUUUAUUGGGUUUAAAGGGUGCGCAGGCGGCACGGCAAGCCGGCGGUCAAAUCGCGUGGCUCAACCCCGCCCAGCCGUCGGAACUGCCGGGCUAGAGUGGGCGAGAAGUGCGCGGAAUGCGUGGUGUAGCGGUGAAAUGCAUAGAUAUCACGCAGAACUCCGAUUGCGAAGGCAGCGCACCGGCGCCCUACUGACGCUCAGGCACGAAAGCGUGGGUAUCGAACAGG